AAGAAAUUUUCCCAUCGCAAAAUGUGUGGCUGUGAUGCCCAAGGCCUGGGGCCCAUUCUUAAAAAAAAUGAAGCCCGAAAUAUUACCUACUACCACAGUGAGCACUUCACGGACAGGCGUUCUUCCGUCUUCUUCACACACUCCACAAUCCUCACUUCUAAUCUCCUGCUUCUGAACAAUUCUCAAGGUUUUCCUUGAUAUAGAGGCCCAAAAAUCCAAAAAUGUCAAUAUUCCAAAUGUUUAUAUCAAUUCCCACACCCUUACAGACCCUCUCUUCAUCAAGAACUCUUUCCGGCGGCUCGAGCGCUGCACAAGUAUUCUUUAACAAAAGAUUUCCACAUCAUUCUCUUACUAACUCCAGCAAUAUUCCCUGGCAAGCGACGACGAUUCGAAUGGGUGGUGGGCCUAGGACAUACCCAGGAGGGGUUUCGAAGUGGCAAUGGAAGAGGAUGCAGGCCAAAAAAGCGAAGCAGCUUCUCAAGGCCCGGUUGGCACGAGAACGACAAAUCUAUGAGAUGCGAAAGCGGGCCGAGCUUAAGGCUGCGGUAUCUGAACUAGAGAGGCCAUGGGAGGUUGUUGAGAAGGCUCCUACUUUGUUUUCUGUGAGUACUGACGAGCAGUUGAAAGUCUUGGCUGACCGGUUCCAGAAACCUGGUGGGUUGGACUUGUGGUCAGAAAGAGAUGGACCGGAAUUGUUCAGACCUGAUAAUGGGAUGCCCACCGCAAGGUUUUUCCCUAAGGGCGUUGUUCAUAGCAUCAAGCCCUAUGGGAAAAUUGAGAAACCUAGCGAUAGCUCGGGCAAUGAAAGUGAUGGGGAAAUGGGUUUGGAAAGAAAAGGUUCUAAUAGGAAUGCAAGAAAAAAGAGACUUGGAUUGGAUAACAAAGGCAAUUGGGAUGAUUUUACAGAAGAGAGUUUUAAGGAUAUGUCAAAUGAAGGUAACAGUGAAACUUUUCCAAACAGAAGGUUUGGGAAGAAGAGAAAUAGGAUUAAGUAUUCAAGUGACGCAGAGGGGUCGGGUGCGAGGGAAAAUGGAGUUCACAGUAGAGCUGGAGAGCGUAGGAGGGGCAAUGGCUAUGAGAAGAGUAAAGAUUCUGAAGUGUAUGACAUGAAUCUACAAAAUGAUGGGAGUUAUGGGUUAUGAAUGGGAGAGUUAAGGAUGUGAAGUAGUUUUGUGCAAAGUGUGCAGUGGGAAUUCUGGGAAUAUAGCUUGAGCUUGAGCAUGAUCAUAUAAUGGAUGUAUUUAGCUAAGAAAGAUGUUUUGAAGGGAGUGUAUUUCAGUAUAGUUGUAUAUUUUAGGCGCAAAUGUUCUGAAAAAAGAUAUAUGACACGGUCUUGGUCGUUGUCAUUUGUAUCAAAUGAGAGCUAAGGAUUUGGAAGAUUGUAAGGUAAUUUACAUACUAACCAUUUUGUUUCCUCACUAAGUAUUAAUAUAUGUGCUUGUUUACUGGGCGUCUGGCUUGUAAAUUGUACAAUUAGAACUGGCUUUCGAGUUCCACUAUCUGCAUAAUAAGUUCUGAUAGAAUAUUUAACACUGUCAAAUGCCCUUUUUUUAAUUGACAGUUCAUGUGUUCUACAAUCAGUGUUAGAACUUUAAUGUAACUCUAGGGGGACUUUAAAUCAAAUAAUCCCAAAAUUGUGGUGGCGAUGCGAAAUUUAUGGAGAAUAAGGCUCAGUUUUUUGUUGUUACUGUUGUUUAGGUGGAACAAUCUUGGUUACAUCCUUCAAGUUUAUUAGCUUUAUGAUGAUUUAACCAGAAUGUGAAUUGAUUACUCCCCUGAACUUCCAGAGGAAACUUGAUCUCAACUUAAAUGAUCCCAAUUAUCAGGUUUCUUUUGGCAGAACAAGCCUGGUUAUGUUUUACACUUUUAACAGUUAGCUAGAGUUCUUCCAACUGAUAGUUUGUUGACAGCUUAGCACAAGCCACUGUCUGCGUGAUACGAAGCUCUGAAGUAGAAAACCAAAUAAAAGUGAAUUAAUUUGCUCUAGGAAAUAUGCGAGGGAAAAAGAGUAUAACUUAUGCGAAUAUUUUACAGAUCCAACUCCAGUAUGGAGACGCUGAAAUUCUGUGAAACUUGACUAGAAAAAUUUGUAGUGGUUCAUCAGAAAGAAGAAAACAGAAACAUGCACAUAUUCCAGAAGGAAGCUUUGGUGCUCGAACCUUGAAUAGUUCCAUUUCAGGUAAUUUUCCCUACUGGGAUUGUGCAUAUUAACAGGUGAAAGUUUUUACGACGUCCAUCAAUAUUUUUAGCAUGUUUGGUUAAGAUUAUAAGUAGCUUUUUGGGGGUGUAUUUGGGUACUAGUCUUGACAUUGCCUGGUUGAACCUUAACGUAAAGGUUCCAGUUAUUUGCACCAGUUUCAACAAAACAAGGAAACACAUCACUCAAUGCCUAGUUGAUCAAUUAUGACAAUUCAAUUUAUGAAGUGGUUUCCUAGAAAAUUAAUUUCACUUGUAUAUGAUAGCAUUCUUGGAUUCCUAUAUUCAGUCUCAUGUUUACAGGAAAGAUUAAUCUUGGACUACUUGUGUAACAGUAGUGAAAAGUUGAACACUAGUAAUUUGUCUUGAAGGUAUUGCCACUGAAGCCUAUAUAGCAUAAUUUUCCUAUAAUACUAUUACUCACGAAUCACAUUGGAUGAUGGACAAGUAAUUGAUAUAUAGCCCAUGAUAGACUAGCCGCCCAUCGAAAAGGGUCCACUCUCUUGAUUCAUCAAGUCAAUAUUCCAGACUUGCCUCAGUCCUGGGCAUGGAUUGGAAAUGAAGCAAUUGUAGCUUUGCACUGUUAAAAUAUAUUACUGGCUUAGUCUUGGGUCAAGCAAAAGCCACGUCAUUCAAGAUUGCUUUAAUGGUGCUGUAUUGUCUAGUUGGCCAAGCAACAAUGGAAGAUUUGGGUUCAAAUUCAAGAUCCGUUGAAGGAAAUUGAGACUAUUCGAGGUCUGUCAAAGGUGUUGAAAAGUGCAACAUUUUCCUGGUUAGAAAACGGGACUUCAAUGGAUUUUUGUUGGCAAACCUGAACCUCGAUGAUAUAGCCAGGAUCACCUCUGGGGCCUCUUAAAGCUAACAAAUGCCACAAAACAAGCCAUUCCCACUUUCCAACAUUUAUCUUAUAUGCUAUGACUAUAUUCAAAAUGACAGAAGUAACAUACAUUUGUAUAAUUGUAUUACGCUGUAUACUCUCUUUUAUUCUUAAAUUAAAUACACCACUCUUUUUUUACAUGUAAAAGCACCCAAAGCUAUUUAGGUUUCUC
rnacentral:lncRNA from 1 species